rnacentral:rRNA from 1 species
AACGAACGCUGGCGGCAUGCUUAACACAUGCAAGUCGAACGGACUUGUAGGGCUUGCCCUGCAAGUUAGUGGCAGACGGGUGAGUAACGCGUGGGAAUGUACCUUUUGGUUCGGAAUAACUGCGGGAAACUGCGGCUAAUACCGGAUAAGCCCGUGAGGGGAAAGAUUUAUCGCCAAAAGAGCAGCCCGCGUUAGAUUAGGUAGUUGGUAGGGUAAUGGCCUACCAAGCCUGUGAUCUAUAGCUGGUCUGAGAGGAUGAUCAGCCACACUGGGACUGAGACAAGGCCCAGACUCCUACGGGAGGCAGCAGUGGGGAAUAUUGGACAAUGGGGGAAACCCUGAUCCAGCAAUGCCGCGUGAGUGAUGAAGGCCUUCGGGUUGUAAAGCUCUUUUGUCAGGGACGAUGAUGACGGUACCUGACGAAUAAGCUCCGGCUAACUUCGUGCCAGCCGCCGCGGUAAGAC